GACGAACGCUGGCGGCGUGCUUAACACAUGCAAGUCGAACGGUGAAGCGCCUUCCUUUUUGGUGGGUGUGGAUGAGUGGCGAACGGGUGAGUAACACGUGAGUAACCUGCCCCCUUCUUCUGGAUAACCGCAUGAAAGUGUGGCUAAUACGGGAUAUUCUGGGUCUGUCGCAUGAUGGGUCUGGGAAAGAUAUUGUUUCGGUGGGGGAUGGGCUCGCGGCCUAUCAGCUUGUUGGUGGGGUGAUGGCCUGCCAAGGCGGUGACGGGUAGCCGGCCUGAGAGGGUGGACGGUCACACUGGGACUGAGACACGGCCCAGACUCCUACGGGAGGCAGCAGUGGGGAAUAUUGCACAAUGGGCGCAAGCCUGAUGCAGCGACGCCGCGUGAGGGAUGGAGGCCUUCGGGUUGUGAACCUCUUUCGCCAGUGAAGCAGGCCUGCCUCGUUUGUGGGUGGGUUGACGGUAGCUGGAUAAGAAGCGCCGGCUAACUACGU
rnacentral:rRNA from 1 species